UGUCAGGGUUGAAGGUCACUAAUCUGUGCUGAAAGCAGCCAAGAGGAGCAAGCCAUGCGGAGGGAGAACUGGAACCAGCAGUGACACUUAGCAAAAGUGGACCUUUAGAAGGAAGCGGGGGAAAAGCUGCCAGGUCUCCUCAGGGAGAACAUGGAAAAAACCCAGAAUCAUCUUCUGCUAUCGGAACUGGGGUCGUGUGUCAGAACAGUACAAGAUAUGAGGAAAGUCUGGGGAAGAUUUAAUCAAGGUGCUAUUUCUUAAGGAUCUUUACCAGAGAAGCACAGUUGCAGAGAGAAGAGUGAAUGUUUGAGUCUUUGUUUUUUCUGGGAUGAACUCUAACUUUUCAGAAAUACCACCACUGUGUUUCCUGGACCUGCAGCUCUUCCAUUUGAAAUACUUGACUGUGUAUUUGUCUUGUCUGGG